UAGAAAUUUGCUCAAGGAUAGAAACGAUGCCCAGCUAGCUACCGUAAUCACUUUUGACCAUUUGCCAAUUGAAUAAAGCUUCCUCAGUAUUUAAACAUGAUCUCGAAUAGCUAGUCUAGUCAUAAA
rnacentral:SRP_RNA from 1 species